UUCAUCUGGCAGUAAAACAGCGCUUAAUUAUAUAAUAAAUGACUUGUCAGCACAUUGGGUCCUGAUUCAUACAGAGUAAUCAACGGCAAAAAUAAUUUGCUACCGUUCAUCCUAUGACAGCAAGUAAAAUUAUCACGGGAAAAGAUUUUUACGAGGACAACUGAUUACGUCAUCUGACAUUGAUUGUUGAUAAAAUAUUGGUGAAUUGAUUCGAUGUUUUUCGGUGUUUUAAAGAAUAUUUUACACUGACAACGUCUGCUUUGACAAAACUUAUAUAUAACUGGAUUAUUCGGGUUAGGCACUUCACCAUGCACUCUUGAUGUAAAGUACUCCAACCUUUGGGAUUAUGCCCAACAAGUGCACUUUUCCCAUCAUUCUCAACCAGUUGGUCCAAUAUGUUUUAGGAUACCAAGAAAGUUCCAUGUGUUUGGUGUUUGUGUAGAGGGAUCAGGACUUCAUGGAAGUGUCAGUCUCAACAUGCUUGGUACUUUUAUAUCUGGAAAGUGAAAAACAAUGCAACAGGUUGCCUAAGUGUACUGUCCUGAAGUCAUCAAGAUAUGGGCACAAUAUCCUACAGCUUAUAGAUGAUCCAGAAAAUCCCUAUGAAGUUAUUUCUUAAGUUAAGCCCUCAAACUGUUAUCCAAAUACCACCAUUUAUGUGCAAGU